UUUGAGGAUGUUGUUAAGGAUCCCUCAGCUGGAGUCCUAACCAUCAAAUAUGAAACUGAAUUUGUCUCCAUGGUGGAAUUGCCUGAGGAAUCUCAGCCAAGCUCAUCGGAUUCUCAAGAGACACUCAUUCUUUCAGAGAGUCCUUCCGCUAAACGCCAGCGCCUGGACACAAGCUAAGCAUGUGGAGCAGGAUUUUGUCCUGAUAUUUGGAGAAGAUGUUUCUGGAGAAAUGGACGACCACGUUCAAGAGAAAGAUCAUCCAACAAAGCAGAAAGCUUCCAACCACCAGUGACCUUGAAGAACUUCUCCUGGCAGCUGAUACUCCUGAGGAUGGCACUGAAGUGGAUGAUGACAUGAGUUGGGACAAUGACCUCUCAUCGAUUUUGCUGCUGCUACACCUGAUUCCCCUGUCUGCCUUGGGUCGGCGGAGACCAGGGAAGGCGUCUGCCUCCCAAGCAGAGAAGCAUCUUGUGGUCUUCAAGAAGGUUUGUAUUUGUUGCAAAUUUUAAUUUUAUUCACCUUCCUCUCUUGGUGCUUUUGACAAACUGUUUAAGGCACAUUAUGUGUUUGCUACAACAUACAACCCCAUGCUGUGCAACAUGUUUACGUUCAUCCAGACCACUGUGUACAAUAUAGAUGUAGGUAAAGUGAAAGAAAGUCCUCGGGCUAGGUUGCUUCACUAGUACUUGGAAAAAAAAUCUGUUUGGCAUUAAGAGUUAAGUUGCACAAAUGUACUUGUUCGGUAUAUACGAGUAGAUGGUUCAUGGUUACUCGGAUGGAAAAACUCUUUGCCUUAAAUGUACUCUGUCAAGUUCGAGCCGUCUAUUGUAAAGGGAUGUACACCAUGUGACACUACCAAAAGUUAACAGUGGAUCUUAAGAAUGUGCUUUUGUUCAAUAAAUAAGUUAAAUGCAUUUCUGUGGUAA